AUGCGCAGAGGAAGGAGAUUUUCCAUCCACAGCUACAUCGGUCCUUCUAGCUGUUACAGACUGACCAGUCACACAGCAGGAAAUCGGAACAGUUACAGAAGGCACUUCCCUAGAUAUGGUGGCUUCCAGCACUGGCAAGGUCAUCGCACAUUGAGGGGUUCUUGUUGGCACAGAGAGCAUAGACAUGGAAGCAGCACUGAAGCCUGUUUUCACUUUGUGGCCCUUGAAGUUGUUUCACAAGGAGCCGGCAUACAAGUUUAUAGCGUUGUACUCUUGUGGCUCAUUAGACCAUUUUCCUGCACUGAAUGUAAGGUUUGUCAGCAGAAUAGAACUGAACCUUGGAUACCAUCUGUGAGUUUGUUGGUGUAUGAAAAAGGCCUGGCAGGUUAUUUCUUAAGUGAGAGGAGGAAGUCUUGGCCUCUACUUCUGCUGCUCCAGAACAAAAAUAUUCAGCUGAUACCUAUGGCUAGCUGCUACACCAAGAGCUGA
rnacentral:lncRNA from 1 species